CAAGGAGUAGUUUAUUAAAAUUAUAAUUUUGGAGAUUAUAGAUAGGGUUUUCCUUUCCUUGA
rnacentral:tRNA from 1 species